rnacentral:tRNA from 1 species
GCGGAUGUGAUGGAAUUGGUAGACAUGCAAGAUUUAGGUUCUUGUGCGAAAGCGUGUGGGUUCGAGUCCCUUCAUCCGCA